AACGUAUUUCAAGUGAGCCUCAGUGUUCUUCCCGUCCCACCCCGAAUAUUGACGGUGUACAGACGGAUGAAGCACCUGUAAGCAGAGCUAGCAGCAUUGAAAUACCUACCCCCAGAGACAAAUGAAUGGGACCGACAAGCAAAGAUGAAGGACCAGAAGGACAGGACAAAAACGAAGCAGGAGCAGAAGAGCAAGCAUAUUGGUACCAUUCUGGCUCUGCAAAAUUCUGCUGUACUUGCUAAAACAGGACUCCUUGAGACGCUCUAAUGUCCUUGCAACAAACCUCUAUUUAAUUA